rnacentral:pre_miRNA from 7 species
CCUUCAGUCCUGGGCCAUCAACUUCAGCUGAGGCUACACUGAAAGACCUCUGAAGGGAGACCCUCACUCAAGUCUCGGGAUAAUAGCAGACCCCCAAGUACUCAUGAGAGA